rnacentral:rRNA from 1 species
GACGAACCGUGCGAACGUUAUUCGGAAUCACUGGGCUUAAAGCGCGUGUAGGCGGGAGGGCACGUCCGUUGCUGAAAUCCCCCGGCUCAACCGGGGAACGGGCGCGGAUACGACUCUCCUUGAGGGGCGUAGGGGGACCUGGAACUUCCGGUGGAGCGGUGAAAUGCGUUGAGAUCGGAAGGAACGCCCGUGGCGAAAGCGAGGUCCUGGACGCCUACUGACGCUGAGACGCGAAAGCGUGGGGAGCAAACAGG